rnacentral:rRNA from 1 species
AUACGUAGGUGGCAAGCGUUGUCCGGAUUUACUGGGCGUAAAGGGAGCGUAGGUGGAUAUUUAAGUGGGAUGUGAAAUACUCGGGCUUAACCUGGGUGCUGCAUUCCAAACUGAAUAUCUAGAGUGCAGGAGAGGAAAGUAGAAUUCCUAGUGUAGCGGUGAAAUGCGUAGAGAUUAGGAAGAAUACCAGUGGCGAAGGCGGCUUUCUGGACUGUAACUGACACUGAGGCUCGAAAGCGUGGGGAGCAAACAGG